GGCAGGCCUAACACAUGCAAGUCGAGCGAACCCUUCGGGGUUAGCGGCGGACGGGUUAGUAACGCGUGGGAAUAUACCCUUUGGUACGGAAUAGCCUCGGGAAACUGAGAGUAAUACCGUAUGUGCCCCUCGGGGGAAAGAUUUAUCGCCUUUGGAUGGCCCGCGUUGGAUUAGGUAGUUGGUGGGGUAAUGGCCUACCAAGCCGACGAGUCCAUAGCUCGGUUUGAGAGGAUGAUCAGCAACACUGGGACUGAGACACGGCCCAGACUCCUACGGGAGGCAGCAGUGGGGAAUCUUAGACAAUGGGGGAAACCCUGAUCUAGCCAUGCCGCGUGAGCGAUGAAGGCCUUAGGGUUGUAAAGCUCUUUCAGAUGGGAAGAUAAUGACGGUACCAUCAGAAGAAGCCCCGGCUAACUCCGUG
rnacentral:rRNA from 1 species